AUAUAGGAGCAGCAGGAGCUCCUUCAGGUAGGCCAGAGCCUGGAACACGCUGUCUGGUGUGUUGGUGAUCACCUGCGCCGGGGGAGGACCAACAAACACACGACGUUUUGGCUCUGUGCCACUCGACAUUGCAUAAUCGGCUGGCCACAGGAGAGUAGACCUGUGAGACCAUCCAGAUGCUCAACCUUUGAGUUUCACAAUGACUAUCAGUCAUUCGGCCGGGACGCCAUUCGUCAGCCAAUCCGAUAAGAUAGCGGAUACGUUAGAGAUCGAUGCGAUCGACUGACAAAAACCUGGUGAGCUGAAGGUGAACCGAGAGGGUGCGUUCUGAAGGGGGCCUCACCCAGUCCAGCAGCAGGGGCGCCUUCUCCCCGACCCACAGGACGAGGCGGUUGGUGUUCUCGGCGAUGAGGACCGCCGCGGCCUUGGCCUUCUCCAGGCCCUGCUCCAUCAGGGGUCCCAGCACACGCACGCUCUCAGAGUAGUAGAAGGGCAUGUUCGUCUCCAGCCAGCUGAUAAAACACCCAAACGCACGCAUGCAUUACGUUUUGUGAUGAUGAUGAUGAUGAUGGACUUUUGUUUUAUAUUACCUAACUUGUUGAUAAAUGUUGAGCAUUAUGACAGA